rnacentral:rRNA from 1 species
GUGCCAACAGCCGCGGUAAUACCGGCAGCUCAAGUGAUGUCCCAUAUUAUUGGGCCUAAAGCGUCCUUAGCUGGCCGCGCAAGUCCGUCGGGAAAUCCACCUGCCCAACAGGUGGGCGUCCGGCGGAAACUGUGUGGCUUGGGACCGGAAGGCGCGACGGGUACGUCCGGGGUAGGAGUGGAAUCCCGUAAUCCCGGACGGACUACCGAUGGCGAAAGCACUCUGAGAAGACGGCUUCGACAGUGAGGGACGAAAGCUCGGGUCUCAAACCGGAUUAGAAACCCGGGUAUCC